UACGGGGGGAGCAAGCGUUGUUCGGAUUUACUGGGCGUAAAGGCGCGUAGGCGGUCAGCACAAGUCAGUUGUGAAAUCUCCGGGCUUAACUCGGAAAGGUCAACUGAUACUGUGCGACUAGAGUGCAGAAGGGGCAACUGGAAUUCUCGGUGUAGCGGUGAAAUGCGUAGAUAUCGAGAGGAACACCUGCGGCGAAGGCGGGUUGCUGGGCUGACACUGACGCUGAUGCGCGAAAGCCAGGAGAGCGAACGGG
rnacentral:rRNA from 1 species